GAAGGUUAAUCUUCUAAUGCAAUGCACUGUUCGUCUUUGAUAGACAGCACAACCUCUCUCGCGUAACACAACAUCGGCUACGGAAGGCAACUACGCUACAGAAAGCCCUCAUAUAAAGGAGGCUCCCUUUUCAGAAUCCGUGUGGCCUUGUCAGCGUCCGUGAUCACAGUGAUUGGUGGAGUGGGACGUCUCAAGUUUUCAGUCUACAAAUAAUUCUUGUAACAUAUUCAAAUUUGUUACCACCGUUGUGACUCGACUCUGUUUCAGUUUACGCCGGAGAAAACUAUGGGCAUACACGGCUGAAUACAAAUGAUUCACUCAUUCAAUUUUAGUCUGUCGAUAUUUUCUCAGUGGAAGACUGGGACCAGACAACUCCGGGUGAAAUUCCAGGCCUGCUCAUUUUUGUAGUGUUUGAACCGGAUACUUCGAAGUGCGCACCUUGGUGAACAUGACUCCGCCUUAGUGACCGGAGAUCCUGAAAUUGAAUGGAACUGAAUAUAUAAGCAAGGCCCAAAGGCAAAUCACAGGGACCUAUGAGGUCAUUCAGGGCUAAAACGGAUAUUGGCGGUAAAAGGUCUGAAAGGUGCAACAGGAAGAAAACCUCGUAUAGUUGCACUAUUAAUCAAUUGUUAGACGAGGGUGGAAAGUAAGAUGGAAGAGAAGAUGAACGGAGGUACAGUAAAAGCAAAGCAAAGAACCUUUGCUGACGGCACUAACCCCCUACGGGGGAUACGGCGAGAUCUUCAGUCAAUAAAGGAAAAAAGGACAUCCCUAAAUAGGCGGACGUAUGCAGAUGAGCACAUCAAAUUCCUAUGAUUUUGAAUUCUAUACAUAACACCGCAAAGUGUGUAUAGAAGUAGCCUUCAACUCAGCGGUUUAUUUUUGUUUUAUUUGAAAAAGUUAGUCUUAUCAGACCAGUGGGGUUAAAUCAGCUCUUCUAAUGCUGGCCCAAAGGAUUAGUUAGUAAUCUUACGUACAGAAUGUUUUUACAAUAAAUUAGAUUUUAUUUAGGAGAUUGUAGAUUUGAAAGAAAAAAUAAAAUUUAUAUUACUCCAAAAAAAA